UACGGGGGGGGCAAGCGUUGUUCGGAAUUACUGGGCGUAAAGGGUUUGUAGGUGGCUUGUUAAGUCAGACGUGAAAUCCCUCAGCUUAACUGGGGAACUGCGUCUGAUACUGGUGAGCUUGAGUGCAGGAGAGGAACGCGGAAUUCCAGGUGUAGCGGUGAAAUGCGUAGAUAUCUGGAGGAACACCGGUGGCGAAGGCGGCGUUCUGGACUGCAACUGACACUGAAAAACGAAAGCCAGGGGAGCAAACGGG
rnacentral:rRNA from 1 species